AAACUUACCUGGCAGAGAAGAUACCAUGAUCAUGAUCGCAGUUUUCCCAGGGUGCCUCAUCCAUUGCACUCCAGAUGUGCUGACUCCUGUGAUUAGCCCAAAUGCGGGAAACACGACUGCAUAAUUUGUGGUAGUGGGCAACUGGGUUUCUGCUUUCCCC
rnacentral:snRNA from 1 species